AUCAAUUAUUCGAAACUAUUUGCCGAUUUGAUUGUCAAGAUAAAAUUUUAAUAUUUCUUAUAACAUAGUGUUCGUCAAUUUAUUUGAACUCAGAGAACACAAACGGAGCCAAAGUCUCUCUAGAUCAGUUGUGAGCCAGGCCUAUCGCAUUUGACCACAUUGAAAAAAAAAAAAAAAAAAACCCAUCCCGUAGAAAACCUCUUUUGACAUAACCUCGAGACACCAUCAAAGUGUAGACCCAGACAAUUGUAUGCCAAAAGUUCAACAGAAAAAACUGAUUCCCAGAUUGAUUUCAUGUUUCCAACAAUGGCCAAUUUGCAGGGUUAGGAGCUUAGGUGCCUAAACCUUGCGAAAGUUGGAGCUCUGUGAUUUUCGGCUUCUGCUCGUGUUGGGAUUCGUUCAACAACUUCCGACUUUCAACCAGUGCAAACUAGAAGAAUGAGCUUUAACUGGAACAUUGACGAGAGAGGUGGUUUGGAAGUUGUCAGGGACCAUGAAAGAGUUACUGUUGUUUGCAUAUUCUGACCGAUUUGUACUCUUGGUUUCACUAUCCGGUUUGCUGCUUUUAACUUCGUCC